rnacentral:SRP_RNA from 1 species
UUAUUACCUAUAUCCAAUAUUGAGUGGCGAACCAGGUCAGGUCGUAACUGAAGCAGCCUUAAACUUCCUUGGUAUGUGGGUAUGGGUAAUAAAGG